UCCGGUUUGACACCGGCAGUCUCCCUAGAGUGCCCGGCAUAACCCGCUGGUAACUAGGGACAAGGGUUGCGCUCGUUGCGGGACUUAACCCAACAUCUCACGACACGAGCUGACGACAGCCAUGCAGCACCUGUGUUCCCGUUCCCUUUCGGGCACACCCGGCUUUCACCGGGCUCCAGGACAUGUCAAGGGUAGGUAAGGUUUUUCGCGUUGCAUCGAAUUAAACCACAUGCUCCACCGCUUGUGCGGGCCCCCGUCAAUUCCUUUGAGUUUCAGUCUUGCGACCGUACUCCCCAGGCGGGGUGCUUAUUGCGUUAGCGACGGCACCGAAGGGGUCGCUCCCCCCGACGCCUAGCACCCAUCGUUUACAGCGUGGACUAC
rnacentral:misc_RNA from 1 species